rnacentral:lncRNA from 1 species
UGGGCAUUGCUACUAGUAUAUAAUAUGAGUGUAAGGAUAGAAGUACUUAUUUAACAUUUUAAUCUAUAAUUUCUUGAAGCUUGAAUCUUCUAUGUCUUCAUAGUCUUCCUCAUUUUCUUCGUUUUGUCUUCAGGAGCAAGAUCUUCUUCACAAGGAAAAUAACAUCACCUUCUUUUUAUCUUUCAAAAGAUUGUCAUACAAGUAC